rnacentral:lncRNA from 1 species
GUAGGAGUGCCCGCUUUAAGACUGCUAAGAAAUUCUACGAUGAAAGAUGAGAGGAAUUUUUUGGAAUAGCAGAGGUCUACGCGACUUGGCUAAAACAAGAUUCCUCGCUGACGCCACGACGGAGCAUCAGCUAGACUUUAUUGCCGUUCUAGAGACAGGGAGAGAUAAGUUCUCUUCUCAGUUUCUGAGUUCUCUUUCCGCAGGGAUUGAUUUUGAUUGGCAUUGUCUACCUCCAAGAGGAAGAUCCGGAGGGAUCUUACUUGGAGUCAGAUGUGACACACUCCAGGUUAGGGAAGUAGUGUUUGGCGAUUUUGCGGUCAAAUUCAAAAUUACAUCCAAACUGGAUGGUUUUAGGUGGGCUCUAGUAGUGGUUUAUGGGACUGCUCAGCCUGAACUUAAAUCUGAGUUCUUGGCGGAUUUAGUUCGCAUCUGUGAUGACCAACUGCCUUUACUGAUUGGUGGCGAUUUUAAUAUUAUUCGAUGGGCGUAUGAAAAUAAUAAUAACAGUUUUGAUGGUAGAUGGUCAUUCUUGUUCAAUACUAUUAUUGAGAGCCUAGAACUGCGGGAGAUAGAACUCACAGGUAGGAAUUUCACUUGGGCAAAUUCCCUGCCGAAUCAAACUUUUGAGAAGUUAGAUAGAGUUCUUACCAGUGUAGAUUGGGAACAGAAGUUCCCUUUGGUUACAGUCCGUGCACUCCAAAGGGCGAUUUCCGAUCAUACCCCCUUGCUGUUGGAUACUGGGGAUGCAUUAUAUCUGGGUAAUCGAGACAGUUUCUCUUUCGAAUCCAGCUGGUUCUUAAGGGAGGGAUUUCUGGAGUUGAUAGACAGGGAAUGGAAUAGGACUUCGGGCGGCUCAUCAAGUGUACAACCAUGGCAAAAUAAAAUUAGACACCUGAGACAAUACCUUCGUGGCUGGGCUAAGCAUGUCUCGGGGACAUAUAAAGAUGAGCGGGAUAGGCUCAUAAACUUUAUCGAUGAGCUGGAUAGAAAGGCUGAGAACUGUGUGUUGGACGUAAAUGAUUGUCAACUCAGAUUUGAGGCUGAACAAAGGCUUCAUACUCUUCUCAGAGAGGAGGAGAUGAAGUGGGCGAAUAGAGCAAAAGUUAAAGCUAUUAUACUUGGGGAUAAUAACACUAAGUUCUUCCAUUUAAUAGCUAAUGGCAAGCACAUGAAGAAGAGGAUAGUGCAGCUUGAACAGGAUGAGGGUACCAUAGUUGGUCAUGAGAACCUAAAAUUAUACAUCUCAAACUAUUAUAAACAGCUUUUUGGUGCUCAUCAAGAUAGUUUUGUGACUAUGGACGAGUACCAGGUUGCAGAUAUUCCCCAAGUUGGGGAGGCUGAUAAUGAGUCUUUAUCUGCUCCUUUCUCGGAGAAAGAGGUGCUAGACGCAAUAGGAGGUUUGAAGUGUGGCAAGGCCCCUGGUCCGGAUGGGUUUCCGGCAGAGUUUUACAAACACUGCUGGCACAUCAUUAAGAAGGAUCUUAUGGCUAUGUUUGAUGAUCUGUAUGCUGGUAAUCUCCAACUCUUCCAUCUGAAUUUUGGUACUAUUACGUUGAUACCAAAGAAGGAAGGAGUGUCUCGUAUUGAGCAGUUUUGCCCGAUUUGUUUGCUUAAUGUUAGUUUCAAAAUAUUCACAAAGGUUGGAACAGAUAGACUAACAAAGAUGGCGCAUUCUGUGGUGCAAUCUUCGCAAACCGCAUUUAUGCCUGGGCGUAAUAUCCUUGAAGGGGUAGUGGUUCUCCAUGAGACUCUGCACGAAAUUCACUCAAAGAAACUUGAUGGAGUUAUCUUUAAAGUGGAUUUCGAAAAGGCAUAUGACAAAGUGAAAUGGUCCUUCUUGCAACAAACAUUGCGGAUGAAGGGGUUCGAUGACGUUUGGAGAAAGCACAUAGAUUCCUUUACUACAAGAGGGAGUGUCGGGAUCAAGGUCAAUGAUGAUAUUGGUCACUUCUUCCAGACACUAAAGGGGCUAAGACAAGGGGAUCCUAUGUCCCCUAUUCUCUUCAAUAUUGUUGCGGAUAUGUUGGCUCUGUUGAUCAAGAGAGCUAACGAAAAGGACCUUGUAGCUGGAUUAGUACCUCAUCUGGUGGAUGGGGGUGUAUCUAUUCUACAAUAUGCUGAUGAUACGAUUCUCUUUAUGGAGCAUGAUUUACUCAAAGCUAAAAAUCUUAAGCUCAUCUUGUGCCUUUUUGAGCAGUUAUCUGGGUUGAAGAUUAACUUCAAUAAAAGUGAGUUGUUUUGUUUUGGUGAAGCCAAAAAUCAACAACAUAUCUAUAAUCAGCUGUUUGGAUGUGUGGCAGGGGAAUUUCCUUUUACGUACUUAGGAAUUCCCAUCCACCAUCGUAAACUAUCUAAUGCGGAGUGGAAAUGCAUUAAGGAACGGUUUGAAAAGAAACUUAGUACUUGGAAAGGCAAGCUUCUUUCUUACGGAGGCAGAUUAGUGUUAGUUAAUUCAGUAUUAACUAGUAUGCCUAUGUUCCUCCUAUCUUUUUUUGAGAUACCUGUUGGGGUACGGAAAAGAUUGGAUUUCUACCGUUCUCGCUUUUUCUGGCAGAGUGAUGAGGUUAAGACUAAGUAUAGGUUGGCGAAAUGGGAUAUUAUUUGCCGUCCUAUAGAUCAAGGAGGAUUAGGUAUUGAAAAUUUGGAAACCAAAAAUAGAUGUCUGCUCAGCAAGUGGUUGUUUAGAUUGUCAAUGGAAACCGACGGAAUGUGGGUACAAAUUCUGACCAACAAGUACCUGCAGUCCAAAUCUUUAUCUCAGGUGGAAGCGAGACCUUUUGACUCGCCAUUCUGGAAGGGUCUAAUGCGGGUAAAAAGCUCAUUCUACCACAGAUCGAGGUUUAUCAUUGGGAACGGGGAAUUGACUAGAUUCUAGGAAGACACCUGGUUAGGAGAAGCGCCUUUGGCUCUUCAAUAUCCGCGGUUGUACCAUAUUGCCCAGCGUCGACAAGUGACAGUUGCGGUUGUAUUGCGUGAGAUUCCCCUUAAUAUUCAAUUCCGCAGAUCUCUAGUUGGGGAUAGAUGGGUUUCCUGGUUGCAUCUAGUUAGAAGGUUAAUGGAGGUUAACCUUUCUGAUAGGAGCUAUCGAAUCUCCUGGAGAUUAACACCAAAUGGGUUGUUUACGGUUAAAUCCAUGUAUUCUGAUCUCAUUGAUUCAGUACCUAUUCCAAAAUCCAAACAUGUUUGGAAGGUUAGAGUUCCUCUUAGAAUUGAAGUUUUCUUGUGGUUUGUUCACAAGGGAGUUAUUUUAACUAAGGGUAAUUUGGCCAAACGGAAUUGGAAGGGGAGCCCCAGAUGUUCUUUCUGUCCAAGAGUAGAAAGUAUUCAGCACCUCUUUCUCGACUGUCCUUUGGCUAAACUUGUUUGGCGCUCAAUUCAUAUUGCUUUUAACAUCUCUCCUCCUGUUAACUUGAACUCGUUAUUUGGAACGUGGUUACAGGGAAUUGAUGUUCAAUUGGCUAAAUCUAUUCGUGUCGGAGCAUGUGCUCUUCUUUGGGCUUUAUGGAAUAGCAGAAAUGAUUUGGUUUUUAACAGAACUCGUGAUAUUCAAUUUUUGCACGUUAUCUACAGAAUUACUGCACUGAUCCGUACAUGGUCGUUACUAACUCCUGGGGCAGCCAGGGAGCCUAUGGUUACUGGGUGUGUCCGCUCGGAGAUGGUAGCACAGGGUAUCUUCAACCGGUUUGGAUGGCGGCAUAUUAAUAGGAUAGGUGUUUAGUCAUCUUUAUCUUUUAGCCACUUCAGGCCGCGGCUCGAUGUUCGCCAUGUAUCUUUUUUCCUUUUUUUAUAUACUUUGUACUUUUUGAACACUUUGUUUGCUUAAUAUAUGGCUGUAUGCAUCCCUCGAUGUAGAGGCCGGGGCGAGGCCUCCUUUUCUAAAAAAAACUUCGUCUUCGUCACACCCUCGAACCCCUCCUCCUCGUCCCUUACCGUGAGCUCCGCGAGAGCCUCGGCCUCCGCGAGGGCCAUGAGCCACUGGAGCAUCUCGAGGACCCGAGAACCAGCGCCAGAGCCUCCCCUCUGGAGAGCCCGUCGCCUCCAGUCGGUGCUCACCGGAGCAGCCCCGCCUCCCGCCUCUCGUGUAACUCAGGCAAGCCGCCGGACCUCCUCCUCGUUGCCCCUAGCUCUCUCUCUGGUCCAGUCUUAUUUUCCUCUCCUCAAGGUCUCUUUCUCUUUCUCUGUAUGGCGCAGCAGCAGGAGAGAGCCAUGGCGCUUGCCGAGCUCCGCAUUGCCACUGCCCUGGUCAACCUCGACGGGCCCCGCCGUCGCUAGAAAUGGAUGCCCCUCCGCUGGAUCCGGAGCCCAGAGCCGGACUGCCCGUCCCCAUCGCACACGCGUACACCCAGUCGCGUCGCCCCACCUGCGAUUGCAUCUCCAGCCAAAGGAGACAGCAGCAAGUCUGUGUUUCAUGUUCAGUUUCGUCAGGUAAGCAUUAGGGUCUGUUUCAUCUGCAGCGAAUCCAGUUUUGUAUCACUUCCCGCUUCUAGCGCACUGGUCAGCGAGCUGCGUUGCAACUCGAGAGACCUGAGAUCGAAUCACAACGCGCCCACCAUUUUCAUUUCAUUUUCUGUUGCAUUUUUUUUGUUCAGUUCAGCGCUAGCUUAUGUUUCAUUUGGAGUAACUCCCCACAAGCAUCAUAAACCACACUGUUGUGGUUAGCAAAGCUAGUAUUCACCCAGGAGGCCAGGGAUCAAAUCCCCAUGGCUGCACCUCACUUUUGCAUUUUUUUCUUCUUCUUUGCUAUGCAUUUGGUCACUUGUCCAAUACACUGCCUAUUUACAAAAUGUCAUCUUUUAGGCGGCUAUUAAGUAUUUAACCAUGCAUGGCAUGCAAAAAUCAUAGAUUAUAGAAUGCGUAGAAUUUUGCGUAGUUUUGCAAAAGCCACUUCCAUACAUGAUAAAAGUAAUAAAACGCGUUGUUUGCAUUGAUUUGUGUGUUAACGUGUUAAAAUGUUUUAAUUCGUAGCUAGUUAACCGUAGCUCCGUUGGAGAUGUGCCAUAUAUGUAAAUGGACUAGAACGACGUGUAGUUUCACGUGAACCACUUUGUUUUGCCGUUUAACAAACAUAAAAUGUGGUUAGCAUAAAUCUGGACAGAUUUAGAAUUUAACGCGUGGGGUCAUUUCGGAGAUGCUAUAUGACGUUUUCGGCCUCAUUUAAAAUGUCUAGCUAGGUAGAUUAAUUUGUGCUUCACCCUCGUGCCAUGUUUAACAACAUUUAAUAAAGCCGCGUACCUGAACGGGAGUGAACUAAAUAAUUAAACGUGGAGUUUCGUCAUAUUGAGCUUCACUUAAUGUGUAGUGUUUGAUUGUUGUGAUUGUCAUGCCUUGCAUUAGACCGUUCAUGCAUCAUAUGUGUCUUGCAUCUUGUGGUGAAUAUCUGUGUUGAUGUUUGUUUCCGGUUUGCUCCGUCUUAAUAGAGUUCCGCAAGCGUGUCGGACUGUGAGGACCCGUUCGACUACGUUGGUUCGCCGACUUCUCGGAGUCAAUCUUCUCACAAGCGGGAUCUCAUGCAAGAUGACCAUUUCCCCAGAUACCAUUACUAUCAUUGCCAUGCUAGAUUUAUCGCUUCUACCGAUUAUGUCUGGUUGCCUACCGCAUGUUAAAUAUUAGCCUCUCAACAAUGCCAUGAUUAUCUUCAACCUGUUCGACCUAGUAAACCACUGAUUAGCUAUGUUACCGCUUGCUUAACCCUGUUGUUAGCGUUGCUAGUUGCAGAUGCAGAUGCUUCAAUGUGAUAACAUGGGUUCUUCGUUAUAUCACCAUGUUAAAUGCUAUUUAAUUUAAUGCACCUAUAUACUUGGUAAAAGGUAGAAGGCUCGGCCUUUCUAGCCUGGUGUUUUGUUCCACCUUUCCCCCCUUAGUUUCGGCUACCGGUGUUAUGUUCCAUAAAUGAGUGCUCCUAACACGAUCGGGGUUGUUAUGGGAACCCCCUUGAUAAUUCGUUUUAGAUUAAAGCUGGUCUGGCAAGGGCCAACAUUGGUACUACAUUUGCCCAACAUAAUAACUUGUUAAUACUGAAAGCAUAGGGCGUCAUGAACCCGAGGAGUAAUUUCACAUAAUACAGGGGGGCCAGUGCUGUUGGUGCUGGUCCAAAACUAGAGCCGUUUGCGGGGCCAACCCGGGGCAACUCGGGAGAUUUCUAUCAGGCCACCGUACCCUGUGCUUAUCCGUCGUGUCGUGAGAACGAGAUACGCGGCUCCUAUCGGGAUCGUCGACAAGUCGGGCGGCCUUGCUGGAUUAGUUUUACCUUUGACGAGAUAUCUUGUGCAUCGGGAUUCCGGUGAUGUUUUGGGUAAUCUCAGAGUUGAGGUUUUCCACUAGGGAAUCCGACGAGAUCGCGAGCUUCGUGAUUGAGGAUUUCUAUGCGGCUUGUGGUAAUUUUGUGAUGGACUAGUUGGAGCACCCCUGCAGGGUUAAAUCUUUUCGGAAAGCCGUGCCCGCGGUUACGUGACAACGUGGAAACUUGGUUUAACACUGGUUCUAGAUAACUCGAAGUUAACUUAAUUAAAAUAUGCCAACUGUGUGCGUAACCGUGAUUGUCUCUUUCGUGAGUUCCUUCUCCGAUCGAGGACACGGUGGGGUUAUGUCUGACGUAGGUAGGUGUUCAGGAUCAUUCAUUUGAUCAUCAGUAGUUCACGUCCGUUAAGCGUAGAUCUUCCCCCUCUUAUUUCUUGUACUCAUAAGUUAGCCACCUCAUAUAUGCUUAGUCGCUGCUGCAACCUCACUACUUAACCAUGCCUCGCCCAUUAAGCUUUGCUAGUCUUGAUACCUUUGGAAAUGAGAUUGCCGAGUCCCCUGUGGCUCACAUAUUAUUACAACACCAGUUGCAGGUACAGGUAAAGGGUACUUGACGCGAGCGCGUUGAUUGUUCAUUUGGAGUUGCUUCUUCUUCUUCUUCUUCAUCGAUCUAGGAUGGGUUCCAGGCCGGCAGCCUGGGAUAGCAAGGAUGGACGUCGUUCUUGUUUUGUCGGUUGUUUUCGUCCGUGGUCGGACCCUGCUCUUACUCUUGAUGAUUAUGUAAUGUACUGAUGUGACUCUGAUGUAGCUUGUGGCAAGUGUAAGCCAAUUCUAUAUAUCUCUUCUUUUCAGUACAUGUACUUGUAACGAUAUCCGUUCUUGCGACACGACGAGAUGCGCUUCUAUCCCUGACGAGGCCCUCGUGUCAAAUUGAGGAUAGGGUCGCAUCUUGGGCAUGACAAGUUGGUAUCAGAGCAGUACCGACCUAGGAGCCCCCUUGAUUGAUCGAACUUGGUCGAGUCGAGUCUAGUGAAAAAUUGCUUUGAGUCUAGUUAUAUAUCGGAGGGUAGGAUUCUUUUUUCUCCUCCUCUAUGCUCUGAUGAGGAAUCUUGACGUAAUAAUUUAAUUCUACUCCUCUUUUCACUCAAAUUUUUUUUAGGAUCACGCGGAUAUUCUUGGGAUCUAUAUGAUGCCGAUGUGACGGAGUUCUGUCUUGGUGCCUCCUAUCUGCUUUAAGUUUCAGGGGAGUUGAGCUCAAGGGGAUUCUUGAGCACAUCGUUAUCAUUCAGAUUUCUUAGUAUCUCAGAACGAAGGAUGUUCGUAAUUGCUUCAAUACUAGUAGUGGCGAGAUAACGCCGAUGUCCCCAGUACUCGUGCAGAUUGUUCGGGAGUACUGCCAUACUUUGUAUCGUUGUGAUCACGAGGGUCUGUUGUAGAUGAAGGUCCGAGAUUCUGGUUGUGUGUUGACGGAUGUUAUACAGGUGACGGGUUAGUAUAGGAGUUGUGUGUUAUUACUCCUUGUAUCCGUGUACCAGAUUGCAUGACCAGAAAUUUCGGGAAUUCAAAGGUGGGAAUUCAAGUAGUUGCUUAUAGGACAAUCUUCCAACAAAUGCAUGAUGUUAGGUUGGGGUUCGACAUCUAGUGGAUUCCUGUCCACGAAAAUAUCGGACGAAAUCUUUCUCAUGAGUUUGUUCUGGCUUGUUUCGUAAGCCUCACCCUUUGUUUUGUUGGAAUAUGGUAAUUCGUGUUGCUUCGAUGUCAAGUGGUGAUUUCAGAUCUUUCCUAAGAGUUGUUCUCAUAUUCAUAUGAGAGUGCUAAUCCUUUUGCUUAAUCAAUUGUCUUAUCAAUUCUUGUCAACCGGAGUUGUUAUAUCAAUUCUUUUCAACCGUGUGUUUCUCUCCAAGUGGAGUCAAUCCUCUCCAAUUUUUGCAAGAUCGUUCUCUCAUUUUAUUCCGGAGUUCAUCUCAUCUAGCCCAAGUUGUCUUUGUUUUUCCCCGCCCUCCCGCCCUUUUCUUCAGUGUUUGGAUUUCAACCAAGUGCAUUUCAUUCCAGUGAUGUUUCCGCUAUCUCGUCUUCCUUUCGUAGCCGGUGAUUCGUUGUGAAGAUUCUCAGUUCUCCGUGUUCAUCAUAUUCCUUUCGUCCUUGUAAUUCUUUCCUGUGUUGGAAAUUCUUAUCUAGUAUUCUGUUGUCAUUUAUCUCUAUUCUUUCCGGAGCGUUGAAGAUAUCCCAGUAGUUUCUUGUUUUCACAUCUUUCAUUAUUUCGAGGUGCCAACCUCAUCUAGUUCUCGUUAUACCGGCGCAAUAUCUCUCCUUAUAAUCAGUUGUUUCAACGGUGAUUUCUUUGAGUGGGCCCAUAACCCAUAGGUUUUUCCCAGGAUCUGUUAUACCUCUUUUAAUCUUUCCGGAGAUCUCUAAUUCUUUCAUCUAUGACGUAACUGUGAAUUUCAUCAGUCUUAUUCCUUCUUCAAGAUCUAUUUGAGUUAAUUCUCAUAAUUUUGGCUCAACCUUGCAUUCUUCUUUAUUCGAGAGUGUCUCAGCUAUUCUUGGUGUUGUGACUCGGCAUCGUUCUCAGCUUGCAAAUUCGGAGGAGUGUUUCUCUCAAAUCUUGGUUCAUUCUUGUGGAGAUUAUCAUUUCAGCUUGGUGCUAUCAUCUUCAAUUGUUUCUAUCAUGAGUAUCCCUUUCUUGCUAUCUGGUGCAUUUCUGAGUUGUUUACAUUCUCGUUCCUCCGAAGGCCAUCAUUUUAGAAGAUUCUUCGUUCUCAGCUUUCAACUUUCAUCCUCAAAUCUUCUCAAUUGUUGUCUCUUCGUUCGUCUCUCGAUUAUCCGGUGCCUUGUUCAAGUUUUCUCUCAGGUGGAUCAUGUUCUCUUCAUUCUCAUGUAUCUCCAUUAAUUCGUGGUGUUCCCAUUUAUUUGUGAAUUCUUACCGGUGCUUCCUUCAAUUUUGCCACAAAUGGUGCUUAUCUCUCUGCCUCUUCAAGAUUCUUUAAAGAUUAAGUGGUAUGCUAAAUCCGUUGCUUGUCAUCAAUUAAAUUUGAUGAAGGAUAAGCAUAACAUAAUUCUUAUUCUUGUUCAUAGUUAUCUGAAUUCUUCUUCCGGAGGGGCUCAUGGUUUCAAUUCUUUUCUCAAGUGUUCCUAUCUUUCUUUUCCGAAGUUCCAAGUUCUAUCAAGUAUCUCUUGUGAGGCUUCAUCUAAAUAUUGGUAAGUUCAUAAUCUUAUUCUUUUCUACCUUCAUAUCGUUGCAUCAUUAAUUUGUAUACGGAGGUCCUUCUUGGUGGUCCAUCAAGAUUUCAUUCAUGUUGAAGUGUUCUUCAAGAUUCUUAUUGGAGUACCUCAAGUUUUGUUCUCUUGCAUUUCCAAGUGCAUUGUUCUUUCUUUAUCCUUUGAGGUGGUAUUAUAGCAUUCUUGUUAGCGUAGGAGCCUCGAAGAGUUUUCCUCUCAAGAAUGAGAUAAUUAAAACCACCAAUUCUUUGAUCAUGAGAUAUUUUCAACCCAUGAUUUCUUCAUUGAGCUAUCUUGGUUUGAAUUUCACCUAAAGCUUUUCCUAUGGAUGGUUGCUAUCAUGGUGCUUGUCAUUAAUCCAAGUUCUCAAGGUAUCCUCUUGGUGUAAGAAAUUUUGCUUGUCUUGUUUCCCGAAUCUAUCCUUGUUUCUUUUAGUGGUUGUUUGUCACCUCAUAUUUGCUGAGAUGAUUUUCAUAAGCCCACUACUAUCUUGUUCUUUUCGUUGUCAUUUUUUCCAACAACUUCGUUCAAUUCUUCUUGCAUGGAUGCUUGCCAAGUUCAUUGGAGUAGUAGUUGUCAUUCUCUUCUUCCGUAUGAGCUAGUUCAUAUUCUCUUCCUCCGGAGGCAUUGUGAUGUUGCUCUUUGGGUCUAUUAUGUUGUUCUAUCAAGAUCAUGGUGUUCCCUUGUUCUAAUUACUUGUUUGUUGUGAAUAUUGCCUAAUUCUCUCUUCUUAUCGAAUUUUUUGUCCCAUUUUCCUACCGAAGUGCUGCCGAAAUUUUCCGUGAAUUCUUGCUCGUCUCUCAUAUCAUUCCUCAUCUCUUUGCAACUUUCAAGGAUUGUUGGUGUCACUCGUUUGUCAAAGAAGCGACUAAGUUUUUACCUCGUGUUCUUUCUCAUCCUCUCCCCCCUUUCAUUCUUGGAUCUCGGGGCGAGAUCCUCUUGUAGUGUAGGAGAGUUGUGACAGCCCGAGACCGACGUUCUAGAAGAUUCCCGUGUUAAUUCCGUUUCCGUCGUGUGAUUAGUUUUGUUUUUUGCAUUCAUCAUGUCAUCAUGCCAUCACGUCGUUUUUUUGCAACUCGAAUGCAUAAAUGGUACGGAUCCUUGGUCCAUUUAAAUCAAGGGAAUUCACAAGGUGAUUUCUCUAUAUAACUUAUCCUCCCAAUAUUAUUAGGGGGCCAUAAUGAAAUAUUCUAACCGUAACACACUUGCAAUUUAACUCCAUUCUUUCCUAUCUUAUUUCUUGCCUUCAACUUUGCCCAUAAUUCUUUUGCUUAAGGUCCAGCCACCCUCUUAAAUUCACCCCAUCCAUAGUUCAUUUAAAAGGGAGUUUGAAUUCAAACAUAACGAAUUUAAUUCAUUAUGUUUGGUAUUUUUUUUAUUUCCUUCAGAAAUGUUCAUCUUGUUCCCAUAAAUCAUAUUUAUUAUGUAGGGUGACCCUCCUAAAUUUCUUCCCAUUUGACAUUGGUUUGGUUAGGUUUUAAAUUCAGGCAAGCAUGAGUUAAAUCAAACUUGUUUAAAUUUAUUUCCUGUAAAAGUCUCCAAACUGAUUUUACAAAAUAGAGUAUAUUUUUAUGGUUCCACAAAAAUAUUUCUCCAACUCUAUUUCUCUCUCUACCUCUCGUUUUCUUUUUCUCGAGAUCUGUUUAUUGAAUUAAUGGCUAAGGAAGAUAUAAAAAGAGCAGGCCCAACUCUUACCUGUUUGAUCUCAGCCCAUUAAGCCCACCACCCCUUCUUCUUCCUACGUGACCUCCGUUAGGAACCACGGGAUCACCAUUGAUCUCCUGGAGCUCGAUCAGACGGCCGUCCCUUCUUCCUCUAGUCACAUAAGAGCACCCGAUGGGCCUAGGGUUCCCUCCUCCUUCCAUUUCCCCCCCUCUCUUCCUCCUGCCGCCGCCAAGAGAGGCCUCCUCCACGUCUCGCCAUGGUUUUGAUCUGUGACAGCCCGAGACUGACGUUCCAGAAGAUUCCCCUUUUCUUUCCGUUUUCAUCGUCUGUCUAUUUUAUUUUGUCGCAUCAUCAUCGCAUCAUUCACAUCAUCUGCAUUGCAUCGACAUCUCCGUUGCCGCCAGUUUUCAAAACUUGCAUCCGUUGUUAGUUACCGGUCUCGCCGUUGUCCGUUCUGAGCCCGACCACACACGCACACACCCGCGACAUCGUCAAAACCCUGUUUUAAAAGUGUGUUGAAAACUUUCUCUGAUCAGGGUGAAACUUGUCAUGCGGUCGAGAUUAGUUAUAGCCAGGCCGCCUGUCGAAUUUCGUCGCGAUCGGAGUCCGUCUGGUACCCGAACGGUCGACAACAGCAGCACCGUCUCCGGUUAUUCGUCGGACAUUUGCCGGUGUUUUAAAACUUGUUGCCGCGCCGCUCGUUCUCCCUCUCGUCUCCGGUUAUCCCCUCUACACGGCCGCGUACCCGUUCCCGUAUUCGGAAUUACUCGAAUCCGACCCCGCGGUUGGAUCCGGGUCGAAAUUUCGCUAAACCUAGCCCCCCUUUCCUAUUUAAACACACCUCCCCUUCCAUUUUAGACAGCCCCCUCUCCCCUGCCUCGAAAACCGUGCCAACCCUAGCCUCCCGCACCCUCUCUCUCCUCCCCUCGGUCCCUCAGCCGCCGCCUGGGCUCGCCGAGCCCAGAUCAGGCCCGGGNNNNNNNNNNNNNNNNNNNNNNNNNNNNNNNNNNNNNNNNNNNNNNNNNNNNNNNNNNNNNNNNNNNNNNNNNNNNNNNNNNNNNNNNNNNNNNNNNNNNAAGCUUGCAUAAUUGGGAACGUGAUCAAGUACAUUUCUCACAUUGUAAUAUUCUCACCAAUGUUUAUUUAUUUCAGUUGGAAAUUGCUAUAUACAACAAGUCAUUAGUCAGACCUGGUGGUCCUUAGCAUUAUUUCACGGAAUACAUGAUGGAUAACUAAGGACAUGGAUGGUU